rnacentral:rRNA from 1 species
GAUGAACGCUAGCUACAGGCUUAACACAUGCAAGUCGAGGGGAAACGACAUCGAAAGCUUGCUUUUGAUGGGCGUCGACCGGCGCACGGGUGAGUAACGCGUAUCCAACCUGCCCACCACUUGGGGAUAACCUUGCGAAAGUAAGACUAAUACCCAAUGACGUCUCUAGAAGACAUCUGAAAGGGAUUAAAGAUUUAUCGGUGAUGGAUGGGGAUGCGUCUGAUUAGCUUGUUGCGGGGUAACGCCCACCAAGGCAACGAUCAGUAGGGGGUUCUGAGAGGAAGGUCCCCCCACAUUGGAACUGAGC